rnacentral:rRNA from 1 species
UACGGAGGAUGCAAGCGUUAUCCGGAAUGAUUGGGCGUAAAGCGUCCGCAGGUGGCAAUGUAAGUCUGCUGUCAAAGCGUCUGGCUCAACCAGAUAAAGGCAGUGGAAACUACAUAGCUAGAGUAAGGUAGGGGUAGAGGGAAUUCCUGGUGUAGCGGUGAAAUGCGUAGAGAUUGGGAAGAACACCGGUGGCGAAAGCGCUCUGCUGGGCCGCAACUGACACUAAUGGACGAAAGCUAGGGGAGCGAAUGGG